GUGGGGAAUCUUGCGCAAUGGGCGAAAGCCUGACGCAGCCAUGCCGCGUGAAUGAUGAAGGUCUUAGGAUUGUAAAGUUCUUUCGCCCGUGACGAUGAUGACGGUAACGGGAGAAGAAGCCCCGGCUAACUUCGUGCCAGCAGCCGCGGUAAUACGAAGGGGGCUAGCGUUGUUCGGAAUUACUGGGCGUAAAGCGCGCGUAGGCGGUUUUGCAAGCCAGAGGUGAAAUGCCUGAGCUCAACUUAGGAAUUGCCUUUGGGACUGCGAGGCUUUGAGGACGGAAGAGGUGAGUGGAAUUCCCAGUGUAGAGGUGAAAUUCGUAGAUAUUGGGAAGAACACCGGUGGCGAAGGCGGCUCACUGGUCCGUUUCUGACGCUGUAGCGCGAAAGCGUGGGGAUCAAACAGGAUUAGAUACCCGAGUAGUCC
rnacentral:rRNA from 1 species